GUGUUGCAUGAAAGGAGAAGUUAGCACUCUCCUUGACGAGGAUGGAAGAGGCCCUCAGGCUAACAACAUGCAUAUGAUUAAGGCAUUGCCACCUACUUCGUGGCAUCUAACUAUGGUUUUUA